AAAAUAAUAUUUGGUUAAAAAGAGGACUUUUAGUUUAGUGUUGCUUUACUGUGGAGCGUAAUGAGUCACGUGACGCGAGUUAGUUAGGCGGGUAACUGGAGAAUUAUGGGUCAGAACUAACUUGGAGGCAGAGAGAGAAGACUAACUUAGCAGCAGAGGGAGAACAACAAUUAAAGCUAACACGAGGUCUAAAGGCGCACACGUUUUCACGGUGUCCGAUGAAGGACCAGAGAGAGGGAGAGAGAAAAGGAGAAAUAAACCUUCAAAAGACAUCA